AUGACCGCCGGACCAAGAUGGCGCAUCUGCGCCUGCGGGAACAUUCAGCAAGGAACUUCUUCCCUGCACGACGCCGAGGCGAAUUCCUCUAGAUACGGCGAAAGGAAGAACCGGAAACACCCGGGCGCCUACAUUGACAAAGAUGGCGAAGCGCGGACCUUCGACCGGAAGAAAAUAUCGCGGAAAAGAGGGGGUGCGAUGAGAGGCCGCGGUUGGAAGUACGGCUCCGGGUUCGUGGACGGCGUGUUCCCCGUGCUCAGCCCCAUGGCGCAGGACAUCCUGGAGCUCGUUCAGAAGGGGACGGACACCGCCAAGGUCUGGCAGGCACUGGACAACGUCCCUCCCACGCACGCCCUGUGGGACGACGUCCUCAACGUCGCCGUCCAGCUCCGCCUGAGCCGGCAGUGGGAUCCCAUCAUAUCAGUCUGCGAGUGGAUCGUGCACCGGAGCUCCUUCCGCCCGGACGUCGUCUGCUACAACCUGCUCAUCGACGCGUACGGCAGGACGCGGCGGCUGGGCAAGGCGGAGGCCAUGUACGCGGCGCUGCUGGAGGCCCGGUGCGUGCCGACGGAGGACACCUACGCCCUCCUCCUGCGCGCCUACUGCGCCGCCGGGUCGCUGCACCGGGCCGAGGGCGUCAUCUCCGAGAUGCGGGAGCACGGGAUCCCUCCGAGUGCGACGGUGUACAAUGCCUACCUCGACGGGCUGCUGAAGGCGAGGUGCGCCGAGAAGGCGGUGGAGGUGUACCAGAGGAUGAAGCGAGAGCGGUGCCGGACCAACACGGAGACGUACACCCUCAUGAUCAACGUCUACGGCAAGUCGAAGCAGCCGAUGUCGGCGAUGAAGGUGUUCAAGGAGAUGCAGUCGCUGGGGUGCAAGGCCAACAUCUGCACCUACACGGCGCUGGUGAACGCGUUCGCCAGGGAAGGGCUGUGCGAGAAGGCCGAGGAGGUGUUCGAGGAGAUGCAGCAGGCCGGCCACGAGCCCGACGUCUACGCCUACAACGCCCUCAUGGAGGCCUACAGCCGCGCAGGGUUUCCGCAGGCCGCCGCGGAGAUCUUCUCCCUGAUGCAGCACAUGGGGUGCGAGCCCGACAGAGCUUCCUACAACAUCCUGGUGGACGCCUACGGGAGAUCCGGCCUCCACCGAGUUUCUGAUGGACGCAGAGGCGGAGGCCGUGUUCGAGUCGCUGAAGCGGCAGGGGAUGGCGCCGACGAUGAAGUCGCACAUGCUGCUGCUGGCGGCGCACGCCAGGUCCGGCAACGUGGCGCGGUGCGAGGAGGUGAUGGCGCAGCUGCACAAGUCCGGCCUCGCCCCGGACACCUUCGCGCUCAACGCCAUGCUCAACGCCUACGGCCGCGCCGGCCGCCUCGACGACAUGGAGCGGCUCCUCGCCGCCAUGGAGCGCCGGGGGACGCGCGACGUGGGCACGUACAACGUGGCCGUCAACGCCUACGGCCGCGCCGGGUACCUGGAGAGGAUGGAGGCGGCGUUCGCGUCGCUGGAGGGGAGGGGCCUCGCCGCCGACGUGGUCACGUGGACGUCCCGCAUGGGCGCCUACUCCAGGAAGAAGGAGUACCGGAGGUGCCUGGAGAUCUUCGAGGAGAUGGUGGACGCCGGGUGCUACCCGGACGCCGGGACCGCCAAGGUGCUCGUCGCCGCCUGCUCCGACGAGCGGCAGGUGGAGCAGGUCACGGCCAUCGUCAGGUCCAUGCACAAGGAGGCCAAAACCUUGUUCACCAUAUGACAAAGAUGAAGACAAAUCUUGUGCUAAUUAGUUAG
rnacentral:rRNA from 1 species